ensembl:lncRNA
GUAGACUCAGAUAUGACCAGACAGCUUAAAGGAACUAAGAUUGACUUUAUGGAACCAAUAAAGCUCCUCAUAAAAACAGCCUAAUAUUAAUACCUGGUUUACAGCUAUCCCAGCAGCCUUACCAGACUUGGAAUCACUGAAACCUAAAAGUAUUCCUGGAGCCCUGCAAACCAAAGCUAAACAACUUGACAUAAAGUUCAGAGAAAUUGCCACAACAGCUUAUGCUUAAAUAAUCCUUGUGCCUGUUGCUAUAUGAGUCACUCAGAAAGUUUACCUGAACACCCAAUCACAUCAUCAGAGAUGUUUCAAACUGCAGAAGAUGUUUGGACAUUGAUAAUCUAGAAGUCCUCUUGACUGACUGCCCUCUGGGCUCAAAAACUGGUUUAUAAUCUGCUCCAAUUUUUAACCUUUAUUUUUCUUUUGUUUCCAUAGAAAUGCCACUUAUUAAAUACCUGACUCUUUGCACCAUAGACCUAGUGUUGGGAGCCCAUCUGCCGGGCUGCCUUCUGAAAUGAGAUGCAUGCAUGCAUGCUAAGUCGCUUGAGUCAUGUCCGACUCUGUGCGACCCCAUGGACAGCAGCCCACCAGGCUCCUCUGCCCAUGGGAUUCUCCAGGCAAGAAUACUGGAGUGGAUUGCCAUGUCCUUCUGCAGAAAUGAGAUACAAUUAUUGAAAAAGAUCUGUCCUUUUCUCAGGACUAAGAAACUGAUUCAGUGAAAUAGAAGACUCUGUGAACCUGCUCUCUCUCUCCAUGGUCAUCAGUUCUGCUUUGAGUAUGUGAAACUUCCAGGCAAGUUUCAGAGGAGGGAAUUGUUGGGGCCCAGAGAAAACUGCCCAAAUUGUGCCUCAAUGGUGUAUUGUUUAGAAUUAAAGUUACUUAAGAAACAGCCAAUACAAGAGGACACUCUGACCCUCCUUCAUGUCUCCCUGGAAGCAGGAAAUCCAUCACUCAGAUGAAAGGUAUACUCCCUGCAUCUGGAGAAAGAAGGAAACCUUGUUGCCAAAAAUAGUGAAUUCCAGCCUCUAAACCUAUAUAAACAAACAUCCUUGCUUCUUUAAUUCACUACCUCAAGCCGAAACUCCAUUUAAAUUUUCCACUAACUGGACACCCCAAACCUGAGUUUCAUUGUCCUGUGAAUUCCUCACAAAUUUAUUGUUCUUUCAUUUAACAAAUAUAAAAAACCACCUGCUUUGGCCACUUACCAUAUCUCAUUUCUAUGGGACCUCUAUGCACAUGAAUUAAAAGUAUUUCU